AAUCUGUAUAGAAAAAAUUUAUGGGGUAUCCGGGAAAGGGUGAACAGGCCCGGUAUAUAGGGAACCCUACCAUGAAUGUUACCUCAGUCAGACGAGGGUAGGAAGUCCCUUACUAGGAAAGUUUGAGAGAUAUGGUUCAUUCUCAUACUGGACGGAAUAUCGAGGUAGUGGCAUGUUUAACACCCAUACCGAACAGGUAUGGGGACGACCAGUUAAUUGUUUAAUUGG
rnacentral:lncRNA from 1 species